GCACAGGGGCUACCUGACUGACACCUCUGUCGCUCCAUCCAUCACCAGGGCUGACUCAGUUGGUCUGGCUGAGUAGGCUGGUGUCUCCUCCCUCCCUCACUGCUCCAUGCACAACCCUUCCAAAGCUGUUUGAGAGGACAACCUUAUCCAAUAGAUGAAAACCUGUCUUUGGUCAAGGGUGGUAUACAAGGAGCUGUGCUACCCUGCUAGAACCUCCGAACAAGCUCUCAAGAUAUUAUGCCCUAGUGGGAAUGGGAAGGAACUACAAGGCAGGUAAU
rnacentral:snRNA from 1 species